AGCAGCCGCGGUAAUUCCGGCUCCAAUAGCGUAUAUUAAAGUUGUUGCAGUUAAAAAGCUCGUAGUUGAAUUUCGGGAUCAGUACGCUGGUCAUGCCUUUGGUAUGCACUGGUGUCACUGGUUUCUCCCUUCUGAAGAACCGUGAUGUCAUUAAUUUGGUGUCGCGGGGAAUCAGGACUGUUACUUUGAAAAAUUAGAGUGUUUAAAGCAGGCUCACGCUUGAAUACAUUAGCAUGGAAUAAUGAAAUAGGACGUUUGACCCUAUUUUGUUGGUUUCUAGGAUCGACGUAAUGAUUAAUAGGGGUAGUUGGGGGCAUUAGUAUUCAAUUGUCAGAGGUGAAAUUCUUGGAUUUAUUGAAGACUAACUACUGCGAAAGCAUUUGCCAAGGGUGUUUUCAUUAAUCAAGAACGAAAGUUAGGGGAUCGAAGACGAUCAGAUACCGUCGUAGUCUUAACCAUAAACUAUGCCGACUAGGGAUCGGAUGAUGUUAAUUUAUAAUGACUCAUUCGGCG
rnacentral:rRNA from 1 species